UACGUAGGGUGCAAGCGUUAAUCGGAAUUACUGGGCGUAAAGCGUGCGCAGGCGGAUUUGUAAGUCUGUCGUGAAAGCCCCGGGCUCAACCUGGGAAUUGCGAUGGAGACUGCAAGGCUUGAAUCUGGCAGAGGGGGGUAGAAUUCCACGUGUAGCAGUGAAAUGCGUAGAGAUGUGGAGGAACACCGAUGGCGAAGGCAGCCCCCUGGGUCAAGAUUGACGCUCAUGCACGAAAGCGUGGGGAGCAACCAGG
rnacentral:rRNA from 1 species